rnacentral:rRNA from 1 species
GAUGAACGCUGGCGGCGUGCCUAAUACAUGCAAGUCGAGCGAACAGACGAGGAGCUUGCUCCUCUGACGUUAGCGGCGGACGGGUGAGUAACACGUGGAUAACCUACCUAUAAGACUGGGAUAACUUCGGGAAACCGGAGCUAAUAACGGAUAACAUGUUGAACCGCAUGGUUCAACAGUGAAAGACGGUCUUGCUGUCACUUAUAGAUGGAUCCGCGCCGCAUUAGCUAGUUGGUAAGGUAACGGCUUACCAAGGCAACGAUGCGUAGCCGACCUGAGAGGGUGAUCGGCCACACUGGAACUGAGACACGGUCCAGACUCCUACGGGAGGCAGCAGUAGGGAAUCUUCCGCAAUGGGCGAAAGCCUGACGGAGCAACGCCGCGUGAGUGAAGAAGGUCUUCGGAUCGUAAAACUCUGUUAUUAGGGAAGAACAAAUGUGUAAGUAACUAUGCACGUCUUGACGGUACCUAAUCAGAAAGCCACGGCUAACUACGUG